rnacentral:rRNA from 1 species
AAACCAACAGGGAUUGCCUCAGUAACGGCGAGUGAAGCGGCAAAAGCUCAAAUUUGAAAUCCUGGCUCUUUUGGGUCAUGAGUUGUAAUUUGAAGGUUGAGAGGUUUGGCACCACGUAUCUCUAAGUCCAUUGGAACAUGGCGCCUUGGAGGGUGAGAGCCCCGUGAGAGAUGUGGCCGGUGUCAUUUUACUUCUUUUCCGAAGAGUCGAGUUGUUUGGGAAUGCAGCUCUAAGUGGGUGGUAAAUUCCAUCUAAAGCUAAAUAUUGGCGAGAGACCGAUAGCGAACAAGUACAGUGAUGGAAAGAUGAAAAGCACUUUGAAAAGAGAGUGAAAAAGUACGUGAAAUUGUUGGAAGGGAAGGGCUUGCAAGCAGACACGAUCCUCUCGGGGAUUGGGCCAGCAUCGGUUGGCAAGGGGUGGAAAAGGCAAUAGGGAAUGUGUCUCGGUGCUUUUAGUGCCGUGAGUUUAUAGACCUGUUGAGAUACACCCACUUCCGACCGAGGCCUGCGAUUAUUCUAGGAUGCUGGCGUAAUGGUUGCAAGUCGCCCGUCU